rnacentral:rRNA from 1 species
GACGAACGCUGGCGGCGUGCUUAACACAUGCAAGUCGAACGGAAAGGCCCUGCUUUUGUGGGGUGCUCGAGUGGCGAACGGGUGAGUAACACGUGAGUAACCUGCCCUUGACUUUGGGAUAACUUCAGGAAACUGGGGCUAAUACCGGAUAGGAUCUCCUGCUGCAUGGUGGGGGUUGGAAAGUUUCGGCGGUUGGGGAUGGACUCGCGGCUUAUCAGCUUGUUGGUGGGGUAGUGGCUUACCAAGGCUUUGACGGGUAGCCGGCCUGAGAGGGUGACCGGCCACAUUGGGACUGAGAUACGGCCCAGACUCCUACGGGAGGCAGCAGUGGGGAAUAUUGCACAAUGGGCGGAAGCCUGAUGCAGAAACGCCGCGUGCGGGAUGACGGCCUUCGGGUUGUAAACCGCUUUCGCCUGUGACGAAGCGUGAGUGACGGUAAUGGGUAAAGAAGCACCGGCUAACUACGUG